rnacentral:lncRNA from 1 species
CUCAUUCCUCUUUUCUCUCUGCUCACCGAACCCAGAAAGAGAGAGACUCGAACCUUGUAUUUCUUUCUCCUCGAUGCAUUUUCACGAUAUUUUUAUUUCUCUCUCUCAUUCUACUUCAUUACACCGAUUAGUUAGAGUUUUUCUCAUUCCUCUUUUCUCUCUGCUCACCGAACCCAGAAAGAGAGACUCGAACCUUCUAUUUCUUUCUCCUCGAUCCAUUUUCACGGUAUUUUCAUUUCUCUCUCUCAUUCUACUUCAUUACACCGAUUAGUUAGAGUUUUUUUCUUCUUGCUUAUUUACUUCUUAAUUAUACACCGAUUUUGUAUUUCAUUUUUCGCGAUCUUUAUUAUUUUAUACUCAGAUUUGUCUAACUUUGCUCUUUUACCAAUUUCAUCACAAAAUAGAUUGUGGAUAACUAAUGAGUGAUCUGUGAUCUUUAUGAUGAAUCAUUCUAUCUGAAUCUGGUCUUCUACACUCUGGAUCUGAGAUCUUUUUUAACUAUUGUGUGUUUGUAGUAUCUAAAUAAUUUCGGUUUUGUUGAUUUGUUGACUGGAUUUACUGUCUGAUCUGUUAUUUUAAGUGAGAAUCUCGCUGUUUUUUCUCUAUAUCAUAUUAUAUACUAUUAAAGUGAUUUGAAAUUGGUUGAUUUAAAUAUAUAAUUCAUAUAACUUCUAAAUGAAAAUAAAAAUUUCCCUCUAUCAUGUGCAUAGUUGUGUCCACAAAUAAAUGGUUGCGAGGGCUCAGUUGUUACAUUUAUGGGAAUUGAACGUGCUCUCCAUGACAUCGACCACUAUUAAGACUUAUGCACAAUGUCAUUUGAGGAUUUUAUUUGGUCGAUUUAAUAAUCUUGUAAAGAAAUCGAUAAUAAUGUAAUCAUUUUGCUUUAUUUUUGCAUAGGUUGCUUAGGAUUUAUUGGGGGUGUUUUCCAAUUUUUAUCGUCUCAUUAGUUGGUGCUAUAUAUAUAUAGACACACACGAGACAAUCUCUUUUGAAAAAUAACUAAUUAUACACAUGUAAUUUCCAAAGUGGAAAUCAUUUCUUGAAAAUAAGUGGAAAAUCAUUUAUACUAUUAUUACAAUAUAUAAACAAGAUACGAAUUUUUGUUCAAUAGUGGAAGUUACACGUAUCAUAUACUUAGUAAGAAGAGGGCUAUUUCUGUAUUUAUUUAAUUUUUCUCUUUCCUCCUCAAACAUACAGUAUUAUUUUAUUUUAAACGUAAAUAAAAUAAUAAGAAAAAAUUAUACACAAUUAUAAAGUCUUAAAUUCAAAUACUAUAUAUAUUUUUAGUAUAGUUUAUUUUAAGUUUUGUGUAAACUCUUGUAAUUUUAUUAUUCUUUGUAACAAAUAAUUGAGAGGUGUGAGUAUUUACUUAUAAGAUUUUUUAAUCUCAACUUUCAAGUUACGUAAGACAUUUUUGAUUACUGAAACAAAUUGAAAAGUGAAUACCAGGUUGAAGUCAUUUUUGUAUCAUCUAUAACUCUAUCUAUAAAGAAAGCGAAAAGGCAAUCCAUAGGGACCACACGAAUAGUGUUUAGAGGCUAACUAAACAUUUGAAAUACUUAGGUAGAGUCAAUGUCCUGCCCCAACAUUUAAAUAAUAUUUGGAUGAUAAUUCAUCAAUGACCAUUUUAAAAUAUACUAGAGGACCUCAUUUUCUUUCAUUUUUAUAUUCAACAAUUUGUCUGAACCUUACAUUUUAGGUGCACAAACUGCAAUCAAUUUAAUAGAUAUAUAUAAAGUGUAACUUAGUUUUCAACUUUACGCGUUUAAUGAAUAUAUAUUGUUAAUAUAAUUUAGUUUUAUACUAAUAUUUAAUAAAAAUUAUUUAUUUUCUAUAUCAUAUUAUAUAUUAUUAAAGUGAUGUGAAAUUGGUUGAUUUAAAUAUAUAAUUCAUAUAACUUCUAUAUGAAAAUAAAAAUUUCUCACUAUCAUGUGCAUAGUUGUGUCCACAAAUAAAUGUGGUCAGGAUGAGGGUGGUCAGGAUGAGGGAGGCCAGGCUGGUGGUGGAGGCCAGGCUGGUCAGGAUGGAAGGGAACCAACUGAAAGGGCAUAGAGGGUUGACAGGGUCCAAAGAAUUACAAAUCUGCCAAAUAGAUUUUCACCUCCAUAUUUCCCCCCAAGAAGAAGAAGGAUAAGGAGAUCGGUAGUUCCUUCUCCACCUCAAGCUCCUUCUCCACCUCAGACUGGUGGUCAGGAUGAGGGAGGCCAGGGUGGUCAGGACGAGGGAGGCCAGGGUGGUCAGGACGAGGGAGGCCAGGGUGGUCAGCACGAGGGAGGCCAGGG